AGUGCUUGGCACUGCUGGCCUGACAUAUGCCAACAGUUUGUAGCAACCUGCAAGGAGUGAGGAGGGCAGAGCUGCUACAAACCAUGCCUGUUAGCAAAGUCAUGGCUGAAGAUUGGCAAGUGUCAGAGAAGAGGAAGUAGCAAACUUAAUAUCCUGGAAUUGGUGAACUAAAGUUGAACCCUAAUCCUACAAACACUAAUGUCCACUAGGCUGUGAUCUGUGCUCUGCUGCAGGAGUUACUGACUGACCUGAGGAUUCUAAGCCAUUGAGUUGGGAGCCAUCACCUUUUCACAUCACUGUUGGACCAAUGAAUAAGGCAGAAUGCUCCAAGAUGGAGAGGGGCAAUAUGUGGACGCUCUGCAGAGUAUAGGUGAGAAGUUGGUGAACUGGGUGUGUUUUUGUUAAAUUUGAGGAAAUUUUUACAUUUACAAACUUUUCCUCCCGUCUCUACCUGUUUCAACAUGUAACAAGUACGUUGGAACAAUUCCCGAAGGGCCUUUAAUGAGGAUCUGCAAUUCUGGCGAAAUAACAACUCCGUUCAUCUUCCCAUCAACUCGCACCAGCAUCACUGUUCCUGCUGAAGACACGCAUGUAUGAUCCUACCAUCACUGGAGUGUUCAGGACGAUGGGCAAUGUUCGUUUUCCACUACUACCAAAAAGCUCCAAUUUUGGUGUCAUCAGAUCAGAGCACACUCUUCCAGAGGUUCGCCGUCUCCUGCGACGUUUGUAGAAACCGUUAACAGGACUUCUUUUGGCUUUCAAUGAAAGCUUUCUUCUUGCACCUCUUCCAUAAAGGCCAGAUUUGUUUAGUGCACGAAUAAAAACUGUCCUGUCAACACACUCUCGCACAUGAGCUGUGGAUCCCUGCAGCUCCUCCACAGUGACCGUGGGGCUAUAGGCUGCUGCUAUGAUUAAUGCUUGUUCUUCAUGGUGCCUUUUGUUCACAAAUGAUCUCUAACAAACGUAUAAGGCCUUCACGGAACAGCCAAAUUUAUACUGAGAGGUGGACUCUGUUAAUUAGGCGAGGUUUGAAGGCCUUUUGUUGCACUGCAUUUUAUUUUCGAGCAAAAGGUACAGGAAGCUAUAAACAUACGCACAUCACAAUUUAGAGAUUUUCUUUUGUGAAAAAAACAUAGAUCCUUUUUCCGUUAAUGCACCGUGUUUGUUUCUGGGUCUAUCAAAAAAAAUAAAAAAUACAUUGCAGUUUAUGGUUACAAAGUGACAAAAAGUGAAAAACGUUCAAGGGGUAUGAGUGCUGUAUUUCCAACAGUAGGAGUUCAUGAUGCCACCACUUGUCCACUCGGGUGUGAUUCAAAUCGCCAUUGCUGGUCCGCAGGUGUAACAGAAUACAUCCAAAGAGAGGGUCAGAUGGUGUACUUGUUGUUGGUUGGUCGAUAUUAACUACAGUCUUGCAUGUAUGCCCUUAGGCUCCAGUCAGUCCUUAGAAAACAUGCGACCAAUUCUGUCUUAGUGUUACUGACCCAAACUGAUUUGCCUUAGCUAAAACAGAAAAACAAAUCAACAGUACAAUAUCCUAUGCACACGGAGUUUCUCUUGGGCAAAGUGUUGCAGACAAACCCGAAGGAACCUUGUAGGUACGUGUUGUCUGCAGGGUCAAAAAGGUAGUACAGGAAAACAACACACAGACCACAAAGUUCUGGUUAAUGUGCGGCCAGCACUCCUCACCUACAUUUCACUAUCUCUACCUGCAUCUGUAACAGGAAACAUAUCUCUUCACACCUUUUCUAAUUUUGCAACAUGACAAAAAAAAUAGUCCUUCCUUACAACUUUCUUGCACAAUGAGCGUGAUUUCAACACAACUUCUACAUCCAGUCCUGAGGGGGUCCUGCUUAUGUAAGCAUCUGUACACCAAGUAUAAUAAGCUAAAUAUCCAGUUAACUCAAACAACUGUUCAGCCUCUAAAUGACGGCCUAGAUCCAAACAGUCUUCUCUCACGUCAUACACAAUAAAAAAAAGUUGGCAAUCAUAAAAAAAAUAUGGUACACACUCUCUGAAAAGGACCAAUCAGGAUCAGGGCAGAGACAAAAAAUACUCUAAAUAGGGAGUGUAAAAAUUGGCAAAUGAAGCACAUUUUUAAAAGCACAAGUUUGGGGAGUUUUCUAUUUCUGAGCCCUCAAAGAUGUUCAAAAGUCAGCUGCAAUGAUCUUGAAAAGCAGCUUGUGCUGGUCAAUGGCCCAAGAGUCAAAAAGGCACUUUCCCGAACAUUGUUGUGCAGCAAAUUAGGCGAGACAUUUAAAAGCGAUAAUCUUCUCAGCACCAUACAUUUACCCAGAGAUUAGAUCAUGCAAUGCUCAGAGAAAACAAAACAAAGAAAAAAAAAAAAAAACUAGAGGCUGCUUCUCUGACCCUGCAGUUCAUGAUCUCCAUAAAAAGAUGCUGAAGCUCGACUGAUCAAGUCCGGCUCGUCCUCUCUCUAAACAUGGCAGCAUGCCUUACACUUCUAACGUUACAUCUGAAAAACCUCACAAAAAUUUCUGAAUGAAGGUCCUUCUGACACACAAGACCAAAGCGGAGAUGUUUGCGGAGAUGAAGCCCUUUCUUUAGAGAAAACCAAACAACAUAUUAGCACAAACACUUCAUACCAACCGCGAUUCCUUGGACAUGUUGUGCUGCCCCAGGACCUUGGCACAGAGUUCAACAGGAACUAUUCUCUAUACUGAAAUAAUCUAAAAUCAAAUGAGUCCAUCUACAUGAGGGUGGUUGAAAAUAACAAUCAUAAGUUAAGUUGCUGCCAUAUCCCAAAGAAAUACAAGAUGUAAACUUAAGGAACUGAAACAAAGCUGUAAAGAUUGGUCCAAAAUUCCCCUAGAAAUAUGUUACAGACUUACAGAGGUUUAACAUUUCAAUUUACGACUUUUAAACAAGGCUCUACGGGAUGCUACACUAGAGGCUGUCAUAAUUUUCAUAUGCUGCUUUUUCAUUUCUUUUAAAUAAAAAUAAUAUUGCA